rnacentral:misc_RNA from 1 species
GAUGAAGAACGUAGCGAAAUGCGAUAAGUAAUGUGAAUUGCAGAAUUCAGUGAAUCAUCGAAUCUUUGAACGCACAUUGCGCCCGCCAGUAUUCUGGCGGGCAUGCCCGUUCGAGCGUCAUUUCAACCCUCAGGCCCCCAGUGCCUGGUGUUGGGGAUCGGCCCAGCCUUCCUGUAAGGCCGCCGGCCCCGAAAUCUAGUGGCGGUCUCGCUGUAGUCCUCCUCUGCGUAGUAGCACAACCUCGCAGUUGGAACGCGGCGGUGGCCAUGCCGUUAAACACCCCACUUCUGAAAGUUGACCUCGGAUCAGGUAGGAAUACCCGCUGAACUUAAGCAUAUCAAUAAGCGGAGGA